rnacentral:lncRNA from 1 species
UUAGAGGUUGGACUCGAUGAUCUUGAGGUCUCUUCCAACCUAGAAAUUCUGUGAUUCUGUGAUUCUGUGAUUCUGUGACUUCAUUUCCUGUUUUUACUAUGGUUCCCAUGUAGCUGUGGCCAAGGCACUUAAACCAUGUCUACAAAAGGACUGGAUUGUUGCAACAUUUCACCAGAGCUGAGUUUUGAAGGGUAGUAUAAUGCUUUGUAUUCUGAAAUUCAUCAUCAGUUGGAUGAAGGGAAUAAGUGGACUGUGCAUGCCAAUGUUGCCCCACAAUUUGACAGCUUGCAGAGUUCAGUCAACAGCAAAGAAGGAAGAGUUUGUACUUGCAGGAAACUCUAUGAAAAUAUUAAUUUAAUUUGUGAAGAAGAGAGUGAAGUGAGGUGAAGCGAAGCGAAGAGAAGAGGUCUGAUCAAACUGAACUGAAAAACUGAAGAAAGAUGGACUAACUUCUGUAACUCAUUUUGCUUCAUAACAAGUUGUCACUGUUGUUGUUUUCUAGACCUUAGUGAUAAAAUAGGAGUUUAAGUCAUUAUUGUCCUUAACUAUCUGUUAUGAAUCAUUUGAUGCAUGAUUAUAUCCUCUUUGCAAAAAGGCAACUUA